GGCAACGUGCCAGAGUGGUUAAUGGGUAAGCCUCGAAAGCUUAUGGUUUCGGCCUCACAGGUUCGAAUCCUGUCGUUGUCG